CCUACGGGUGGCAGCAGUGAGGAAUAUUGGUCAAUGGGCGCGAGCCUGAACCAGCCAAGUAGCGUGAAGGAUGACUGCCCUACGGGUUGUAAACUUCUUUUAUAAAAGAAUAAAGUGAGGCACGUGUGCCUUUUUGUAUGUACUUUAUGAAUAAGGAUCGGCUAACUCCGUGCCAGCAGCCGCGGUAAUACGGAGGAUCCGAGCGUUAUCCGGAUUUAUUGGGUUUAAAGGGAGCGUAGAUGGGUUGUUAAGUCAGUUGUGAAAGUUUGCGGCUCAACCGUAAAAUUGCAAUUGAUACUGGCAGUCUUGAGUACAGUUGAGGUAGGCGGAAUGCGUGGUGUAGCGGUGAAAUGCUUAGAUAUCACGAAGAACGCCGAUUGCGAAGGCAGCUUACCAAACUGCCACUGACAUUGAUGCUCGAAAGUGUGGGGAGCAAACAGGAUUAGAUACCCGGGUAGUC
rnacentral:rRNA from 1 species